UACGGAGGGUGCAAGCGUUAUCCGGAUUCACUGGGUUUAAAGGGUUCGUAGGUGGGUUAGUAAGUCAGUGGUGAAAUCUCCAGGCUUAACUUGGAAACUGCCAUUGAUACUAUUAAUCUUGAAUACCGUGGAGGUCAGCGGAAUAUGUCAUGUAGCGGUGAAAUGCGUAGAUAUGACAUAGAACACCAAUGGCGAAGGCAGCUGGCUAGACGAAUAUUGACACUGAUGCGCGAAAGCGUGGGGAGCAAACAGG
rnacentral:rRNA from 1 species